UACGUAGGGUGCAAGCGUUAAUCGGAAUUACUGGGCGUAAAGCGUGCGCAGGCGGUGAUGUAAGACAGUUGUGAAAUCCCCGGGCUCAACCUGGGAACUGCAUCUGUGACUGCAUUGCUGGAGUGCGGCAGAGGGGGGUAGAAUUCCACGUGUAGCAGUGAAAUGCGUAGAGAUGUGGAGGCAUACCGAUGGCGAAGGCAGCCCCCUGGGAUAACACUGACGCUCAUGCACGAAAGCGUGGGGAGCAAACAGG
rnacentral:rRNA from 1 species